UUCAGUAGCUCAGUUGGUUAGAGCACCUGACUGUUAAUCAGGGGGUCGUUGGUUCAAGCCCAUCCUGAAGCG
rnacentral:tRNA from 5 species